CCCAAGACCAAGCCCUGAUCCCAGCUACAGGUUCCUCCAAAUGAUGCUUGAUGAUCCCACAGAUCUCUGAAAAUAGGACUCACCUCAAAGAACCUAAAAGACCAAUAAUUCCUUAAAUUGGUAUAAUAGAGCCCCCUGAGAUAUGCUGGCUCCUGGAAACGCACAGCUACAAAGACCUGGGCUGAACUCCCAGUCAAAGCAGAGCAGGCUGACUCUGCCCUUCACUGUGUGGAAGGGUCUUGUGUCCAGAAGUCUCUGCUCCACCCUGUGCUCCUUUCAGCAUGGGAAAGAGAAUCUGGAAGGAGGGACCUGACCCAGAGUCAAGAUGCUGUUGGAGGUAGAGUUGCAGACCGUGGUGAGAGAGUUGGGUGAGGGACUGUGGAGGUGGCCCUGGUGGUGUUGGAGGUGGAGAUGGCCGCGGGGAUGAUGAUCUUGAUGAUUUUGACAAAUGGAGAUGGCAACACAGAUGAAUAUCUGACUACUUCAAGAGAUGGUCUACACAGGAAUUGCAAAGAGAAUGGCCUCCAAACUGUUCAGACAAGAUCAUCCCACCGCUCACCUUCAAGCCGUAUGAGAGAAGAGCUGUUGGAAUCCAAUCAGCAGUCAGGAAGAUGGAGCUCUUUGGGCAGCUGGGAGGCCCCAGGCUGGAAUGCAGGAACCUGGGUUCAUGUCCCUGGCUUGGCCACAAACAGCCUUACCCGACCCCAUGCUGUGACUUGGAAGCCCCACGACCUCCUGCCAGCUUCAUGCCUCACUGCACCUGCCUCUGCUGCAUGGGACACCUAUGACCAUGCCCCUCGGCUUCCUUGACCCAACCAUCAUCACCCGUCCUCGGCCUCCCAUUAAAUGAUGGUGGUCCCCAGAGCUUGGGUCCUGACUCCCUUUUCACUCUUAGUGGCAACUCUUAGGCAGCACUUAGUGGGCUCGCAGCACAAUCUCUGUGGGAGGAGACAGAGAUGUCACACACAGGCUCUGAUACUCCCACCAUCUCCCCACACCCACCCAGCUGAGCACCAGUCUCUGUUCACCAGCUAAUUGCCAGGAGACCCAAAUCCCUCGUUUGAGCCCCACCCCUGUCUAGCCAACCAUCUGCUGGACUUCUCCACAGUGAUGCCUCACAGAUGCUUUGCAGUCAGCCAGUCCAAAACCAAGCUCAUCCCUGUCUUCUAGGUCUUUGUAAAAG
rnacentral:lncRNA from 1 species